GCGCAGCCAGCGCCCCAGUCCAGUACACGCACCCACACAGCCAGUCGCCAAGAACCCUAGCUAGAGCAGCGGCGGCGACGACCAAGACCAAGCGGAGUGGCGGACGGUGGGACGGCGGAGCCGCAGAGGGCGGCUGUGGAUGUCGAACAAGCGACAGGGGCGGCUGGGCACAGCCGCGCAAGGCGCGGGCGGCGGCACGGUCGCCAGCUCCGCGUCCUUCAUAUUGUUUUUGAGACCAAAAAAUUCGUUGUUUCAUUGUUUCUUAUUAUUUUUGACACAGACAAAUUCGUCAGAAGGUUGAAAGCAGGGUGGUUCUUUUCAUAAAAAGCUAAAAAAGGAUAAGCUUGUAGCCUACCAUCUUUUAAUAAAGUGCAAGCCAGUAGAAGAUGGAGAGGAAGGGGAAGGGCUAGCAAAGGGGAGAGAUUUGACAAGAUAUUUUUGAAGUACUUGGUAGUGGCAGUGGCUCUAAUCCAGGUACUCCAUCAAGAUCAAGUGAAUUCCGUUAAAGAAGAGAAUGCAAAUUUUAUGCCAGCCGAACAAGUGGAAGAACAGAUUGCAGAUUCAGUUGAAGCUAUAGAGGAAGAGAAUGUUGAAGUUCUAGGAGCUGAAGUAAAUCCGCACGUCACAUGUUCCAAUGCGACAACAACGGCAAGUUGCUACAGGAAUUCCGAUGGAAAUCAUGCGCUUUGGAUGUUAUUGGACUUGGACAUUGUUUUAAAGAAAGCCUCGUCAAGCACGAAUUUUUCCCGAGGCGAGUUGUUGGACAAGAAAGAUUUUUCCAAAGUCUCUAAGCCUCUAAGGUUUGUGAGUUGGAUACGAGAAGCGCAAGAAAAAUAGCAGGACAUCCGAGAGGAUUAUGGUGAUCUGUUUCUUUGUGCAAGUACUAAGUGACAGUGUGAUAUGGUAUCUUUUGUGUUUUCCCUUUGCUUUGCCCCACCAUUUGCUCUUUGUGAUUCCUGCAAAGUCUAUCUUCAGCUUCACAAGAAUUCUGUGUCUAACAUCGAUGUUGAAAUGUUUCACUAUGGUCUUGGGUUUUUGUACAUUGAUUAUUGUAUGUGAAACUGAUGUAUGAUGCUGGACAAAAUAAUGUUCUUCUUAACAAAGGAACUGUUGUGUACUGCUUA